UACGUAGGGGGCGAGCGUUGUCCGGAGUUACUGGGCGUAAAGCGCACGCAGGCGGUCUGCUAAGUUUGGAGUGACAGUUGGUGGCUCAACCACCAAAGUGCUUCGAAAACUGACAGACUUGAGGGCUUCAGAGGGACACGGAAUUCCGGGUGGAGUGGUGAAAUGCGUAGAGAUCCGGAGGAACACCAGUGGCGAAGGCGACACGCUGGGCCAUACCUGACGCUAAAGCGCGACAGCAUGGGGAGCAAACGGG
rnacentral:rRNA from 1 species